AUACAAAAGGUGGGUACUGCUCCACUUGGUUUGGGACAGGAGCCGAGGAAAUUGAGAUAUUGAAUGCAAUUGACCCUUUGUUUGGAGAUAUUAAAUGCAAAAAUAAGUAAAAAAAACUAGUAAUUAAUUACUUGAUUCUAAUUAAUAAGAAUAUAUGUUAAUGGUUAAGAUAUAGGCUAAAUUAUAUAAAAUUUUUCUAUCAAAAACUUUUUUACUUUUCCUCUUGUCAUUUAAAAACUUACACUUUACCUCCUUAUAAAAUAAAAAAUGUUCACCGGGAGAGUACUGUGUCUGUAUGAACUGUAAUGACAAAAUAAUCAUUUUGCCUCUCACCAAUUUUGUCUCCAACCUUACCUUGCUCAUCCGCCGCCUCGAUCGGCUGCGGUUCAUGCCUUGAUCUGCCGUGAUUCCUCUCUAUUUUCUUCUUCACCUGCUCCCCCUCUCCUCCUGCACCCUUGUCGCCCCUACAUUUCAGCGACAGUAGGAAGGAAAUCGAAAUGGGCGUGGAUGGAGAGGUGGGCAAGGACAACGAGGGCGAAGGCGAGGUGGCGGAGGAGGGCGAUGGGGUGUUUGUGGGCACGGAUGAAGAUGUGGGCGAGGGCGAGGUGGAGGAGAGCGAAACAACAGUAGAGAAGGCGGAGGAUAUUUUUAGUAUAAAAAAAUAUUUUAUAACGGAACCCUAACAUAUUACUAACGGUAGGGGAUGAAGUGAACAUUUUUUAUUUUAUAAGGGGACAAAGUGUAGAAUUUUAAAUGAUGGGAAGAAAAGUAAAAAAGAUAUAUUAAAUUCCAUUUUUUGAGAUGUCCAAACACCAGGCGCGAAUCUGCGAUUCGAACUUGAAACUUACUGCUUUAAGUAAUUCAGUUACUUAAGCUCUCUGGUGAAAAAAAUAUCUUAAGAAGAAUUGAAGAAACAAAUUAAAUCACAAGCAAUUUUUUUAAAAUGCUCAAGCCACAGAUAACACGGCUUUAACUAUAUUAUAAACAAAGUACCUGAAAAAUACGAAUUACAUAACUUUAUCAAAAGAAUAGAAAAAAAAAAGGAUUAUCCUUAAAGCUAAUACAACUUAAAGAAAUAAGUAAUCCUCAGGAUACUAGCUCUUCUGCCCCCAUUACAACCAAAAAUAGAAAAUAAUAACCAAAAUAGUUUCAUAAUAAACAUCUAAAUACAAAAGGGUUCUUAUUCAGUACAUAUAUAUAUAUNCAAGUGAAAAUUUUUGAAAAAUUGUAUAGCUUGAUAAGUGUUUUUUUCGCGGCUGUAGUCACUUUUGCUCGUGUUAAUCCUCUUCGUAAUCAUCAUAAAAGAUUGAAAUGGCAACCAUCAUAGCCUGAAAAAAAGCAAAUUAAAUGGUGUAAAAAGGAGAGGGAAAAAAAAAAAAAGAUCAUGUAGAAUAAUGGUGUCUUAAAUUAAGUUGGUCGGAUGAGCUUAUGUAUACAUGUAGGUUGCAGUAAUACAAUAACUGUACAUAUGUAACAACUAGCUGCAUGUCAAACUUAACUUUGUUUGAUUUGAUUUGAUUUGAUUUGAUUUUUAAAAAGUCCUCUUACUUGGAUCUCUGGUGACAAGUAUUGCCGUGCCGCCGAAGUCGCACGUGCCGCCGGCCACCUUUGUGCGUUGCCAGUAGCUGUUAAAUGCGAACGACGCAUGCGAAAUCAGCGUGUCGGGCUGGUAGCACGACCCGUUGGGCUGUAUUACGUCGCAGUCUGCCCCCGACCCGCAAGCAUAGUCCAUUGCCUCCUGAAUGAUCGGGUCGGGCACCGUUGGCUUCGCCACGCACCACAACCCGGGCAUUGUCUCCGACGGUGGCGGCGGCGGCCCUAGUGGUGGCGGGUACACUAUUGGUGGUAGAAACAUAGGUGGACCGGGCACGAAUUCAGGCGGACUCGGUAUAAAACCCGGUGGGCCCGGAGCGUAACUUGGUGGGCUUGGUACGAACUCGGGUGGGCUUGGAACAAAUUCCGGUGGGCUUGGAAUGAACCCUGGCGGGCUCGGAGUGACUGUCGGAGGGGUUGGAGUCACCCCCGGUGGGUUUGGAACGAAUUCUGGCGGGCUCGGAGUGACUGUUGGAGGGGUUGGGGUUACACCCGGCGGGUUUGGAACGUACUCUGGCGGGCUCGGAGUGACCGUUGGAGGGGUUGGGAUCACCCCCGGUGGGUUUGGUGUGAUCACCGGGUACGGAGAAUAGCUAAUUGGUGGGGGCGGAGAGAAUUGAGCUGGGAUACUCGGAGUUGGUGUUGCGGUGGAGGGCGGGGGUGGUGAGAAUACCGGGGGGUAAACGCAAAAUGGGGGAUUGAUUGUAGGGGAGGAGGAAGGGCCCAUAUCACCACCAUAUGGGGGUAGUACAAAAGGUGAGCCAAAGUAAUAGUAUGGGUCAGAAGGUGAGUAUGAUUCUUCGAGUUUCCUCAUCGAUGUCGGCUUUUUCGGUGAUCUGAUCAAUGAGAAGUGCUUCUCGGGUUGUCUCAGACUCCUUGCUUCUAUAAAAUCAGCGCAAGAAAAGCAUGAAAUCGAAAGAUGUGUGCUAUGUUUUAAAAGUUUCUAAUUUGAUGUCGAAUUUAAGAUUUCGUUACAAUUCGCUCCUUCCUAAUACAUAUUUAAUCGGAUAGGAUAGUAACAUCUACAUAAGUGUCAUCUAAACGGUACAUCCGACUCAAAACCGAGAAAUUUGAUGAAAGAUAUGCAAUUGUAACGUAAUUGCUACACCUAAAACCUCGGUGCAAAUUACCCGCGAAGGAAUUGAGCUUUAGCAUAACAGGGACUACAACUAAUGAAUGCAUAUACUUACCACAUUGAGUGAAUAAGGAAACCACAAUUGAGAUGUGGAGAAUGAGAUAAAAUGGUGCAAAGUAGCUCUUCUUCCCUAGCUCCAUAAUAAGUCACUUCUCCACUUUGGGGACACUUCUCUUUGCUAUUGAAGCCACAAAGCACUAUGAAGCAUGGGGAUGGGGUUGUUAUAGUGAUAAAAAGACUAAACAAGUGUGGAUCACCCAUCAAAAGAUGUUGAAGAGGAGCUCCACAAGGGUGAGAGGAAAAAAAAAAAAAAAAAAAGUUGGUGAGGGGUGGAAAGAGCUUAGCUUUGGUGAUGAUUCUUCAAUUGGACACUUUUUUGUCACCCUCUUUGUGAUGGAUUGGUGAUAGAUUGUGGUUUUUAGGAGUUGUUUAGGGCAGGGCAUCUUUAUUUGAAUGAUGGGUUGUGUUUAGUUUUUUUGCUUUUUUUUGUUUUCUUUUAAGAUUUGAAUCCUCUUUUCUCCUUGUUCAGUUUUGGCAUAUGUGCUUGCUUGGUUGCAGAGAAAUUGAAAAGGUUAUGUAAUUUGGCCUUUUUGAUUGCUUGUGAUCUAAGUUAGGUUUGUUGGGCCAGGCUUGGGUUUAAUAUGGAUAACACAUAGUUGAACCACUCCAAAAAAGUAUAUAAAAAAUUAGGAUUAAUUUUAUACAUGUCCCUACAAAUAUAGUGAAUGGCAAAUAUACUCCUACAAAGUUCAACUUUCAAAUGUUGUCUUUGCAAAAGUUUUGAUAUUUUCAAAUAUGUCCAGCUGAUUUGUUACCGUUAGAGAACUGUUUAUAUUUUCAAUUUUGUCAUCACAAAUAUAUCCCUCUAAAAGCCACAACAGCAUAAUAUAAAAGGAUAAAAAUGUCAAAAACUAACUGGGUUAAGUAUUUAACCUAUGAUUAAUUAAAUUUUUCUAACGGAUUCUAACGACAAUGACAUAUUUGAAAAUAUCAGGAUUUUUACAAAAAUAAUAUAUAAAAGUUGAAUUUUAUAUGAAUAUAUUUGUCAUUCACUAUAUUUGUAAAGACUUGUAUGAAAUUAACCCAAAAAAUAGUACUAAAAUAUAAAUUAACAAAGAAAAUAAAUAUUGAUCAGCAUUUGGGGUUGGAAUUUGAAAGAUCCAUGGGCUUUUGUGUGAGUCACGGAAGUUGAGGGUGAUAUUAAUUAAUUAGCGUAGCAAAUACUAUUAUUGUUAGGACAGAUAUAAUAAUUCUACUUAAUAUUUGCAUGACAUAAUUUAUUAUCUUUUAAACCUUGUUUCAGCAUAAAAUUAUUGUAUUUUCUGCGAUUAGACUCUUUAUUCUCAGACACUGAUUUGGAAUAUAUCCUAAUGUGGUUUAAGGCUCGAAAAAUUUUACGAGCCUGAUCCAGGAAAAUUCUGGGCCACAACUGGGCCAUUAAACAGUGAAUUUGCGGGUUUUGCGGCCCACAAUGCAUCAAUUUUAGCACCCGUAAAUUAUUAAUUGGUUUGACUAAGUUAAUCCUAGAAGAAUUUUUUUUUUUUUUUUUCUUCGACACUCGUGAAUUAAAAUGAAGACUUAUUAUUAUUAUAAGAAAGAAUCCUAACAUGUUGUUAACUGCGAGAGAAUUGUUAAAUAUAGAUUUAAAAAAUAUUAUUGUUUUAAUAACUUAAAUUUUUAUAUGAAAGUAAUUAUUUUUUUUUAAAAAAAAAAAACUCAGAUGAACGCUCUAUUAUUAAUGGCACCCCCCCUACUAUUCUUUCUCAGUACCUGACAAUGAUGAAACGCAUCUAUCAUGAGUCCCCUGUGUCCCUCUAAGUAAUAAAAUAAUAAUACAUGGGCCAAUAAUAAUAAUAAUAAUAAUAAUAAUAACUAUAGUAACCAUAAAAAAGUUGGAAAAAGAAAAGGGAGCAAAGGAGAUCUUUCAACUUUAAAGGAAACUCCACAACUUAGCAAAUAUAGCAACAAUGAGGUGCAGAGAAGGAAAAGUGACUAGACAUAGGAAAUGGCAACAAACUAUCCCCACUGGCCACUACCCCUCCAACAUUUUCUCCCUUUUUUUUUUUUUUUUUUUUUUUUUUAUAAAAGCUCUAAUAAACUAAAGUUUAUAAUAUUAAGGGUUAAUUUAUACAGCCCCAUGCAAACAUAUUGAAUAGUAAAUAAUAUUUCUAUAACCGUUUGGUUCGGGGUUAAGUAAAAACUUGUUAUUUCAGGAAUAGAGUUAAAUUCAUGGUAAGGUAAGGUUAGAGUAAUUUUAUGUUUGGUUGAGAAUUGAGUUUAGUCUAGAUAUAGGUAAAAUAGUGUUUGGUUGGAAUAGGUGGGAUAAAUAGGAUAGUGGGUAAAAUAGUGUUUUGUUUGGUUGGAGUAGUGGGGUGGGGUGGGGUUAGCUAACCCCACCCCCCAAAUUGGGUGUUUGGAAAUAACUUCGGGGUUAAGGGGUUAUUCCACCCCUUAACCCCGAACCAAACGGGUGCAUAAAGUUUAACUCUUCAUAUUUAUUGCUACAAAAGUCCAGUGAUAUUCGUAUUUGCUCUUCUAUUUGUUACCAUUACAGUAUAUAAGAGAAAUAAAAAGAUCAAUUUACCUCAUUCACUAAUUAUGAUUAAAUAUUUUAUUUAUAGUUAACUAUACUUUUCUAACGGAUCCUAACAGCGGUGGUAUAUGUGAAAAAAUAUUAAAACUUUUUUAUUAAUAAAUAUGAAAAUUAAGUUGAACUUUAUAGAUAUAUAUAUAUAUAUCUGUUAUUUGAUCUAUUUACAGAAAGUUGUACGCAUACAAUUAACUCUAAUAUUU
rnacentral:lncRNA from 1 species